rnacentral:rRNA from 1 species
GAAGCGCAGUAAUGCGUGAAGCUGACUCGUACUAAUUGGCUGAUUGUCUUGACCAUAUAACCUGAGAGACUUCAGGU